UACGAUGGACGGACGGUCGCGUCCCGUUGAGAGCGGGAUGAGGAAAGUCCGAACUCCACAGGGCAGGGCGCUUCGGAAAUCGAAGGCGUUUCGGCUCCGAUUCGUCGGAGCCGGGGCGACGGAAAGUGCCACAGAAAAGAUACCGCCCGCCUAAGGCGGGUAAGGGUGAAAAGGCGAGGUAAGAGCUCACCGGUCCGGCGGUGACGCCGGACGCAGGGUAAACCCCGCCCGGAGCAAGGCCAAAUAGACGAGGAGCGCACAACCGGCUUGCCGGAUGCGCGGGGAAUGGCCCGUUCCCCUUGACUCGCGGGUAGGCCGCACGAUUUCGGCGGUGACGCCGGAACCAGAUAAAUGACCGUCCUCCCGUCACGGCGGGAGACAGAAUUCGGCUUACAGUUCAUCGUAUGAG
rnacentral:RNase_P_RNA from 1 species